AUGCUCACUUUGACAACACAUAUACUUAAAGUUGGAACAGUGCAGAGAAGAUGAUCACAGCCCCUGUGCAAAAAUGACGCACAAAUUUCUGAAGCUUUCCAUAUUUAA